rnacentral:rRNA from 1 species
CGUUCCCGGGCCUUGUACACACCGCCCGUCAAGCCAUGGAAGUCGGGAGUACCUGAAGUCGAUCAUCGCAAGGAGUCGCCUAGGGUAAAACCGAUGACUGGGGCU